GGGAGGGAAGUAGACUGGAAACGGUAGCUAAUACCGCAUAACGUCGCAAGACCAAAAGAAGGGGGGACCGUUCGGGCCUCUUGCCAUCGGAUGUGCCCAGAUGGGAUUAGCUAGUAGGUGGGGUAACGGCUCACCUAGGCGACGAUCCCUAGCUGGUCUGAGAGGAUGACCAGCCACACUGGAACUGAGACACGGUCCAG
rnacentral:rRNA from 1 species